rnacentral:rRNA from 1 species
UUAACUGUUAAGAUUAAGCCAUGCAUGUCUAAGUAUAAGCAACUAUACGGUGAAACUGCGAAUGGCUCAUUAAAUCAGUUAUCGUUUAUUUGAUAGUACCUUACUACAUGGAUAACCGUGGUAAUUCUAGAGCUAAUACAUGCUAAAAACCUCGACUUCGGAAGGGGUGUAUUUAUUAGAUAAAAAACCAAUGCCCUUCGGGGCUCCUUGGUGAAUCAUAAUAACUUAACGAAUCGCAUGGCCUUGCGCCGGCGAUGGUUCAUUCAAAUUUCUGCCCUAUCAACUUUCGAUGGUAGGAUAGUGGCCUACCAUGGUAUCAACGGGUAACGGGGAAUUAGGGUUCGACUCCGGAGAGGGAGCCUGAGAAACGGCUACCACAUCCAAGGAAGGCAGCAGGCGCGCAAAUUACCCAAUCCCGACACGGGGAGGUAGUGACAAUAAAUACUGAUACAGGGCUCUUUUGGGUCUUGUAAUUGGAAUGAGUACAAUUUAAAUCCCUUAACGAGGAACAAUUGGAGGGCAAGUCUGGUGCCAGCAGCCGCGGUAAUUCCAGCUCCAAUAGCGUAUAUUAAAGUUGUUGCAGUUAAAAAGCUCGUAGUUGAACCUUGGGCCUGGCUGGCCGGUCCGCCUCACCGCGUGUACUGGUCCGGCCGGGCCUUUCCUUCUGGGGAACCUCAUGCCCUUCACUGGGCGUGUUGGGGAACCAGGACUUUUACUUUGAAAAAAUUAGAGUGUUCAAAGCAGGCCUUUGCUCGAAUACAUUAGCAUGGAAUAAUAGAAUAGGACGUGUGGUUCUAUUUU